rnacentral:lncRNA from 1 species
CUUACUUAUUUAAAAUAUGUAAUUUGAAUAAUGCAUUCCCAAACAAGUUUGAAAAUAUAUAAUUAUAAAUAAUUGAGUAUCAAUGAUAUAUCGAUAUUUUCAUAGUAGGUUUAUCGAUAGUGGGUUUAUUGUUAAUGGGAAGGCGGUUGUUGGUCAAUGCCGAGGGAAUGGGCCAAAUGGCUUUGGGUUCGGCAUUGUAACAUUUAGAUCGUAACGGUUUUUUUGGUGUCUGUUGUUUUGUGAUUUUUGUGAAAGAUCAGGUUUAAGGAGCUGUGGUGAUAAAAUUUUCCAACACAAAAGAAAAAGACAUGGAAACAGUAAUCAAAGACUGGCUGAAGUCUUCAAAAAUUCGGUUUACCAGCAAAGAGAAAUCUAAGAUUCAUGACGGUGAUUGGAGAUAUCUGGGCGGUGGACUCCAUCGCACCCCCCUCAGCGUCGACAACCGCUACUACCGCUACUUCCGCCAUCGGCAGUGUGUCUGCUACCUCACUUUGCGCGGACGAAGAGAGACUCAUUUUAAAAAGGAUAAAGUGUCAAAGAUUUUAAAAAAAGUGAAAGUUUUGGCUAACAAAGCCUCUAAGUGCAGACCACAAGAUAGGACUGUAUAAAAGUGAAAUGUUCACAAAGUUUUCCUAAUAAGGAGUAUCUCAAUCUCAUAUGACAGGUAUUUAUUAAUUUGAAUUUUCUCCAUUGCUUACUUAUUGUAGCCUAUGAUAUUCUCAAACUGGCUUAUAUUUAAAUUAUUAGUGACUAGACAAAAUUCAGCAGUUUAGGCCCAUAAAACAUUAAAAUACAAUUUCCAAUAAUAAUAAAAUCUUAUAAAAUAAUUCUCUCUUUGCUUAAAGCUGUUGAUUCUCAAAAAAUAGUUUUUCAUACUUGCUUGCAUUCCCCAGUAAGUUCUUACUAUCUAUCAUCCAUUCACAACAAAUCUCAUUAUGCAUUGACUUGUCUAUAAUUAUUAUCAGUGAUAUAUAGUCUUGAUUUACUCUCAAUAAUGAUUUUAUGAGCUCUGUUCUCAUCACCAGUCCCACGUUGAAUGCAACAUGUUUAUGUCAAUGGCGCAUCACCAGCCUCACGUUGGGCGCAAAUGUUUCUGCUGACGUUAUUUUUGUGAAUAACGGCUUGCCUGGCUUGGCUGCAGUCGGUAAAGCAUGAGUAAAAAAUUAUACAACUUUGGUUGUGGUUCUUAGAAUACAACUUAGACAAAAUUCUUAUAGGCUCGCCCAGGUGCUCCCGCAGUUCACUGCUCUUGUACAAUUUAUAUAAAUCUCUGGAACGUAUUAUUUCCAAAGAUUUGAUUAUCAAUGCUAAAUAUUGCUGACUAAACCAACUUAUUCGGUGAAGAACAAAGUCGGAUGGUAAUUUUCUUAAUAUUUCAAUACUGAUAACUCAAUAAAUAAAUAUGAGAUUGGUCAUGCAUGGAAGUGGAGAAAUAAAUAAAGGAUACACCAAAAAAAAUUUGAUACAUAUAUUGUACAAGAAAUAUCAACAAACAAGUAAAUGUAGAAGUAUAUAGAGCAACAAGCGAAAAUAAUAAAAAUAAGAACAAAUAUAUCAAAAGUAAAAUAUCACAGAUUAGCUCACUAGUUUUCAGUUCUUUAGCAUGAAACGUUGCCAUGUGCUUUUGAAUCAUUAAUCGUAUGCAUUUAUUUUCAUGCAGCUCAGGUAUCGACUUGCUGCUGCUUGUCGAUUUAAAAAUCCCAAUAUAUAUCUUCUUUCAGUGUUUUAGUUUUACUUAGAAUUGUAUUGGAGGGUUAAGUGUAAGAGAGGGCCAGCUGCGCCCUAACUUCGCCCUCCUAGGUUUUUAAUAAAGGCAGCUAAUCAAUCAAUCAAUUCUUUCCAAAAAUAAUAAAAUAAUUAACUGAUAAAUCAUAAAUCUCAAAUAUAAUAAUAUGUAUAGACCUCAGUAUAUUUCUCAAUAUAUAUAUCUCUCAACCUAGCUCCGCAGUGCAGGCUGGUUGCUUGGCUGAAUUGGACUAGGCGCUGAGACAGCAAAUAAUAGCAGUGUUGGUGGCAAUGCGAGCGGCCACAGUAACAUCUUCCACCCAGCAAUGGUCGGCGUAGUUCCGCCUAGCGGACAGACAAAAGAUCAAACCAGUCGGUUAUUUGAUCCCUCCAGCCAGGCUCAGCCAAGCAGCCGAGACAAUAGAACAAUGGAGUGGCGGUCUUAUUCGUGUUCAUCAGCAGUUUUCUUUCUCACGAUUAUUUUGAUUUCUGUGUGUCAAUAAUAACUCCAGUCACCAGUAAAAAGUCCCCAGAAACGUGAUGUACUACCAUAUUAAUGACUUUUCAUGAUGAUUUUAAAUUAUUUAAAAACAUUGUUAACAUUCUGAGUCUUCAGGCUAAACUUGGGGUCGCUGUGAACGAAUCUGCAAUCAGAAUUUCUGUAUCACAAAAAAUAACGAAAAAAAUCCAGCUGUUGAUCUUUCAGCAACCGUUAACAGUCAUCCUGCAAUGCGGCCGAAACACUUCCAAGCCAGACACUCAUCUCGAAUGACAACAAUGCCAAGCUGUAAGAAACCAUCCUGCACUGCGGUGCUAGGUUCAGGGCUUGAGGUUCGGCCUCUGGUGGAAUCAGAUAGAUUAAUUUAUCCAGUGAACAAGAGCUACAUAUUUAUCUUAUAAUUUGCUAAUAAAAUAAUGAUUGAGUGAGCAUAUGUACAUUAUAAUAUUAAAUUUAAAUACUCCUCUAAUCUGUGCAUCUUUAGAUAUAUAAAUUUGAUACAACUCCUAUCCAAUAAAAUAUGUUUUUGUACCUUUUUAAGACUUGCGCAAGUUUCACAAUAAUUUCAAUAUUUAUAACCUUUCGACAAGCUAGCUUUUUAUAUUUGUUUCACUCGAAGCACUGAGGGCGCCCUAAUUUUAUAUAUUUCGAUAAUUUAUCACUCACAUGCUGAAUUUUCACAAGACGAUGGUGGCGAUCCGAAUUUCCUGGUCAUCCUGGAUUUUUGGUGGCCAAAGUCGUCCUCUCCAAGGGAAUAAAUAAAUAUCUAAUGACUUAAAGACUUUCAAACAUAAAAUUUAACAAAGGGACUUGUGCUCUAUAAAAUUUAGUGUCAUUCCAUGGUGGCGUCUGGCCUUAUUUUUCUAGAAUCCUAUUUCUGACUUACACAUUUGCAUACAUUUAAAUAUUUCACUACUACACCAUUUAAAAGGAUCAAAUGGUCCGUGCUAAUCUACUAAAUUAUUAUCUAUAUCCCAGGUAUUACAUUUUAUAAUUACUCGGACCAUAUCCGAUACAUAAACUGAGUAGUGAUAAUUUAUAAAUUCUUAUCAUUUAUAAAAAUAUUUAUAGAUUAAUUUGAAUCGGCUCUCUAUUGCUGCCCAUCGAUUACUGUAAUUUGAUUGGUUCAUGCUAAUUCACUAAUGUAUCCAUGCGCCUAUGAGUAUCCUACUUCCUUAAUAUUCUAAUUUAUUUUUUUUUGGUGUAUUUGUUCAUGCUCAUUACAGGUAAUAAAUAAUUUUGGAAUUUAUAAGUUGUUUUUCCCUCUACAACAAUUAGCCAUGUGCUUUUCAAAACCUCUAGUUGAAUACUAUUUGUUUACAACAAAUUUUUGCCAAGGUGUCUGGCUGGAUUUCACAUUAUACGGCUUGAUCGAUUAUUAGGUUGCCAAUCAGUAGGUAUUAAAGCCUAACCUCAAAAUUUCCAAUACUUUAUAUAAUAUAAUAAAUAGCAAAUAAAAUUAUUUUCUAUUCGGCUGUUCUAAUUUUAGCCAUG